GCGCUUGCUUCUGCAGCACAUAUACUAAAAUUGGAAUGAUACAGAGAAGAUUAGCAUGGCCCCUACACAAGGAUACACAAAUUCAUGAAGUAUUCCAUAUUUUU
ensembl:snRNA U6 U6 spliceosomal RNA